ACGAACGCUGGCGGCGUGCCUAAUACAUGCAAGUUGAGCGCUGAAGGUUGGUACUUGUACCGACUGGAUGAGCAGCGAACGGGUGAGUAACGCGUGGGGAAUCUGCCUUUGAGCGGGGGACAACAUUUGGAAACGAAUGCUAAUACCGCAUAAAAACUUUAAACACAAGUUUUAAGUUUGAAAGAUGCAAUUGCAUCACUCAAAGAUGAUCCCUCGUUGUAUUAGCUAGUUGGUGAGGGAAAGGCUCACCAAGGCGAUGAUCCAUAGCCGGCCUGAGAGGGUGGUCGGCCACAUUGGGACUGAGACACGGCCCAAACUCCUACGGGAGGCAGCAGUAGGGAAUCUUCGGCAAUUGACGAAAGUCUGACCGAGCAACGCCGCGUGAGGGAAGAAGGUUUUCGGAUCGUAAAACUCUGUUGGUAGAGGAGAACGUUGGUGAGAGUGGAAAGCUCAUCAAGUGACGGUAACUACCCAGAAAGGGACGGCUAACUACGUG
rnacentral:rRNA from 1 species